GACGAACGCUGGCGGCGUGCUUAACACAUGCAAGUCGUACGGAAAGGCCCCUUUUUUGUUACUCGAGUGGCUGACGGGUGGGUAACACGUGCGUAACCUGCCCGCGCCUUCCUGUUAACUUCAUUAAACUGGGUCUAAUACCUGCUAGGAAUCCUUUCCUCAUGGUUGGUGUUGGAAAGCUUCGGUGGGUUUGGAUGGAAUGACGGCUUAUCAGCUUGUUGGUUGGGGAGUGGGUUACCAAGGCUUUCACGGGUAGCCGGCCUGGGUGGGCGAGCGGCCAAAUUGGGGCUGGGAUACGGCCCAGACUCCUACGGGAGGCAGCAGUGGGGAAUAUUGGACAAUGGGCGGGAGCCUGAUGCAGGAACGCCGCGUGCGGGAUGACGGCCUUCGGGUUGUAAACCGCUUUCAGCAGGGGCGAAGCUUGUGGUGACGGUACCUGCAGAAGAAGCACCGGCUAACUACGUG
rnacentral:rRNA from 1 species